rnacentral:rRNA from 1 species
GAUGAACGCUAGCGGGAGGCCUAACACAUGCAAGCCGAGCGGUAGAGUCUCUUCGGAGACUUGAGAGCGGCGCACGGGUGCGGAACACGUGUGCAACCUGCCUUUAUCUGGGGGAUAGCCUUUCGAAAGGAAGAUUAAUACCCCAUAAUAUACUGGAUGGCAUCAUCUGGUAUUGAAAACUCCGGUGGAUAGAGAUGGGCACGCGCAAGAUUAGAUAGUUGGUGAGGUAACGGCUCACCAAGUCAGCGAUCUUUAGGGGGCCUGAGAGGGUGAUCCCCCACACUGGUACUGAGACACGGACCAGACUCCUACGGGAGGCAGCAGUGAGGAAUAUUGGACAAUGGGUGAGAGCCUGAUCCAGCCAUCCCGUGUGAAGGACGACGGCCCUAUGGGUUGUAAACUUCUUUUGUAUAGGGAUAAACCUAGAUACGUAUAUCUAGCUGAAGGUACUAUACGAAUAAGCACCGGCUAACUCCGUG